UGGGGAAUUUUGGACAAUGGGGGAAACCCUGAUCCAGCCAUCCCGCGUGUGCGAUGAAGGCCUUCGGGUUGUAAAGCACUUUUGGCAGGAAAGAAACGUCGCGGGUUAAUACCCCGCGAAACUGACGGUACCUGCAGAAUAAGCACCGGCUAACUACGUGCCAGCAGCCGCGGUAAUACGUAGGGUGCAAGCGUUAAUCGGAAUUACUGGGCGUAAAGCGUGCGCAGGCGGUUCGGAAAGAAAGAUGUGAAAUCCCAGAGCUUAACUUUGGGAACUGCAUUUUUUAACUACCGGGCUAGAGUGUGUCAGAGGGAGGUGGAAUUCCGCGUGUAGCAGUGAAAUGCGUAGGUAUGCGGAGGAACACCGAUGGCGAAGGCAGCCUCCUGGGAUAACACUGACGCUCAUGCACGAAAGCGUGGGGAGCAAACAGGAUUAGAUACCCUGGUAGUCCACGCCCUAAACGAUGUCAACUAGCUGUUGGGGGCCUUCGGGCCUUGGUAGCGCAGCUAACGCGUGAAGUUGACCGCCUGGGGAGUACGGUCGC
rnacentral:rRNA from 1 species